AUUGAACGCUGGCGGCAUGCUUUACACAUGCGAGUCGAACGGCAGCGCGGGCUUCGGCCUGGCGGCGAGUGGCGAACGGGUGAGUAAUACAUCGGAACGUGCCCAGUAGUGGGGGAUAGCUCGGCGAAAGCCGGAUUAAUACCGCAUACGACCUGAGGGUGAAAGCGGGGGAUCUUCGGACCUCGCGCUAUUGGAGCGGCCGACGGCAGAUUAGCUAGUUGGUGGGGUAAAGGCCUACCAAGGCGACGAUCUGUAGCUGGUCUGAGAGGACGACCAGCCACACUGGGACUGAGACACGGCCCAGACUCCUACGGGAGGCAGCAGUGGGGAAUUUUGGACAAUGGGCGAAAGCCUGAUCCAGCAAUGCCGCGUGUGUGAUGAAGGCCUUCGGGUUGUAAAGCACUUUUGGCGGGAACGAAAAGGACUGUGCCAAUACCACGGUUCGAUGACGGUACCCGCAGAAUAAGCACCGGCUAACUACGUG
rnacentral:rRNA from 1 species